rnacentral:rRNA from 1 species
ACAUGGCUCAAGACGAACGCGGGCGGCGUGCCUAAUACAUGCAAGUUGAGCGCUGAAGGUUGGUACUUGUACCGACUGGAUGAGCAGCGAACGGGUGAGUAACGCGUGGGGAAUCUGCCUUUGAGCGGGGGACAACAUUUGGAAACGAAUGCUAAUACCGCAUAAAAACUUUAAACACAAGUUUUAAGUUUGAAAGAUGCAAUUGCAUCACUCAAAGAUGAUCCCGCGUUGUAUUAGCUAGUUGGUGAGGUAAAGGCUCACCAAGGCGAUGAUACAUAGCCGACCUGAGAGGGUGAUCGGCCACAUUGGGACUGAGACACGGCCCAAACUCCUACGGGAGGCAGCAGUAGGGAAUCUUCGGCAAUGGACGAAAGUCUGACCGAGCAACGCCGCGUGAGUGAAGAAGGUUUUCGGAUCGUAAAACUCUGUUGGUAGAGAAGAACGUUGAUGAGAGUGGAAAGUCAUCAAGGACG